AAUUGUGUCAAUAUAAAGUUGUGACAAGUCCUUGUAGCAUACACUUGUUUCGUUUACUGAUGCAAUUGGUGAGGUUAACUUUUCUACUUCACUUCUUUGGCCCAAUUCCAGAAAAAUCGGCCUAACAAAGAUUAAAUAGAAUAAGCUUUAGCCCAUCUCAAAUGGCCCAUCCCCUUUUUAGCUCACGGCUGAGAGCAGCCCUUCAGCCUUAACACCUUCCUCCGAUCCCCAAACUCCGUCCGCUCUCUUUUCUACCGAAAUCCGCCGCCGCGGUCCCAAAAUUCUGGCGAGGUGCGCCUCAUCUGUCAUCUCUUCUCUCUCAGUCGCACACAAUCGAGGGGUUGGUUGAGCCCUAGUUCUCUCGGCUCGGGCGAAAUCGCCGUCGUCGCCGGGUCUCGCUCGCCGCGCCGUUGCGCCGUCUCAUCUCUUUUGACGAAGACGAAGCCACCACUGUUUUGGAUCGAUGCCGCUGCGUCCUUCUCGACAGGGAAUCACCACGCCGUCGUUGCUAUUCCAGAAAUCUGCGACGGUCGCCGCUGAGGAGUCGUCCGCCUUUCGCCGCUUGACGCCGUCGACCCUAGGCUCCACGAGGCGCUACUGCUCUGUCUCCGCCGCGACCUUCUAAUUCUGGCGGCAUCGCCACCUAUUGCAUGCGUUUCCCCACUCAGUUCUCUAGGCUCGGAUGAGCGGCGAAGCUUUCGCCGCCGUCAUCCUCUUCGGCUUGACGGAGCAAGGCAGUCGCCCCUCCUAUUCAAACUCCGUUUAAAAGUAACAGGGAAUUACUGAAAAGGAGUGGAGGAAGUUCAAGUAAAGACUUACCUCUUUAAAGCUCAAAUUGGAGUUGAAGGAAUCCCUCUCCCUUUCUCAGUCGAGUGUUAGAACAAAAUCAAGAAAAUGAGGAUUUUUGUUGGCUGAUGUUUUAAGGAUGGAGUGGGUGGCUAUGCUCAAGUAUCUGCACCUCCAAAGGGGUUAGAGGGGAUGGCCUAGGUAUAGGGUGUGGCUGAUUGACCUUGUGUUGUAUCUUUAGCAACUAAAAGAUAGGAUUUCGGGCAUGGCAAAUUCAGAUUUGAAAAGAAAUGAGCUGUUGUUGUACCUUGCGUGUCUUAUGCAAUAUGUGGACUUGUAAUCUAUAUAUUAUAUGAAAAUGCAGUUUUAAUACUUUUUUGACACCAAA